rnacentral:rRNA from 1 species
AUUGAACGCUGGCGGCAGGCCUAAUACAUGCAAGUCGAACGAGUGGCGGACGGGUGAGUAAUGUCUGGGAAACUGCCUGAUGGAGGGGGAUAACUACUGGAAAAGAUAGCUAAUCCCGCAUAACAGCAGAUAUGGCCAGAUGGGAUUAGCUAGUUGGUGGGGUAACGGCUGACCAAGGGGACGAGCCCUAGCUGGUCUGAGAGGGUUACCAGCCACACUGGAACGGAGACACGGUCCAGACUCCUACGGGAGGCAGCAGUGGGGAAGCUUGCACAAUGGGCGCAAGCCUGAUGCAGCCAUGCCGCGUGUAUGAAGAAGGCCUUCGGGUUGUAAAGUACUUUCAGCGGGGAGGCGUUACCCGCAGAAGAAGCACCGGCUAACUCCGUGCCAGCAGCCGCGGUAAUUC